rnacentral:rRNA from 1 species
GCAAGUCGAGGGGUAACAGGUUGGAAUUUCGGUUUCGACGCUGACGACCGGCGAACGGGUGAGUAACGCGUAUGCAACCUACCUUUUACAGGGGAAUAGCUUUCGGAAACGGAAAUUAAUACCCCAUAACGCUGCACUGUGGCAUCACAGAGCAGUUAAAACUCCGGUGGUAAAAGAUGGGCAUGCGUAACAUUAGCUAGUUGGUAAGGUAACGGCUUACCAAGGCUGCGAUGUUUAGGGGACCUGAGAGGGUGAUC